UUCUUUGCCUGAGCAGUUCGUCCAACACCUCUACAGAAGCGGGUGAAAGGUAUGGCUUGCUUGUGGACCAGAACAUCCUCCAAAUACCUUUUGGCCUUGGCCAAAGGCAACUUCCUAAUGGCAUGAGCAGUCUCCCUUGUGUUCUAUUGAGACAGUAUGGAAAUGAGAUAUACAAUGAUUUAAGUUCACCAUAAACUCAGAUUCUCACAUACAGAAGGAUAUAAAAAAUGAACAACAUGAUAACCAAAAGUAGAGAUGGGCGAAAUAGCAGGUGACCCGGUUGGACAAGCAGGAUCUGCAACAUAAUACCAACCUGGACCUAGCCUCUGGUAAAAAAUCUAUGCAUGAAACAAACCAAGUCUGACCUCAACAGCCAAAACAAUCUGGCUAAUAUAUCAAAAUUUGUAUCAGUGUAACUUUUUUUUUUCUUGGCCUUCUUUAUGGGUAACAAACAAACCACAACUAAUCAAACUGAUGCAGCUUUUAUAACAUAAUCAUAUUUCAGAUGAGCAGAGAAAAAAAAAAAUCAAAGAUCUAACUAAAGUAACAUCUAACGUAAUACAGGCAGUGCAAAUACCACAACUUUUUAGUUUGAAUAAUGAGUUCCUAGAAACACCGUAUUAGGCAGCUAACAGAACUUCUACUAACAAUGUUGCUAUGGCAAUGUAGCUGGUGUAAAGGAAUUGUAUUAUCAGACAUACGAUGGAGAAAAAGGCCUUUUUUUUUGCCACAAGAAUGCAGCAAAAACACUAGUACAAUUUAGAAGGACUCAUCCUACACACCACUUAAUGGAAGGAGUGACAUUCAUUUGAGAACUGUAAGUAUAGUCAAACUCAUCACAAUAUGCCACAAUUUAUUGAACCUUCCAUCACAAACAACUCCAGAGGUUCACCCAAUAAUAAUGAAACUGCUUUCCCUGAAGUUUAUGAGAGAAAUGCUGACAAAGGCAACAGGUCCCUGCUUUUUAUCAGGUUUCACAAACUUAGAUUUGAACAGUUAAAGUAAAAAUCAUUUAUCAUCAUUUAAUGAUGGCAACCAUCAGAGUGUGCCAUUAUUUACUGAGCCUUCCAUCACAAGCAACUCCAGAGGUUCACCCAAUAAUAAUGCAACUAAUUUCCCUGAAGUCUACGAGAGACCUGUUCACAAAGGCAACAAAUCCCUGCUUUUUUCAUCAGGUUCCACAAAGAAGAGAGCAAAUUGUAGUUGAAAAAUUAAGCCAAAAAACCAGCUAACAAGAAAAUAUCAACACCAUUUACUUCUAAAAUGUAAUGGAUAAAGAUUUUGCAAAGGGAAAUGCAUAGAAAAAUGGAUACAACUGCAAAUGGCAAAACUAGCUCUUCAACCAUUUUUUUUUAAUAUUUUAAGGAAAAUUUUAAAUACCAAUUUAUCAGAGAAACAAAUUUACCAUGAUUUACUGAACCUUCAAUCACCAAGAACAAUAUGGGUUCACCCAUGAAGAAUGUCAGGAUUUCCCUGAAGCAAGCAAUAAGCCCUUUCAUAAAGGUAUAAUAGAAUUCUGCUUUUUCUCAUCAGGUUUUACAACAAGAAAAAACAAAACUGAUCAUAUUUUUUUGUUUCCCUUUAUUUAGUAGCUAAAUUGACGAUAACAUGAAAAGGAAGGAAAAACGAGGCAAAGAUCAAACCAACCCUGUCAUGAUGUAACUGGAUUGGAAAUGAACCUUAUUCCCCGAUAUCACAAAGAAAAACCCAAUAUUUUUGCCAUGAAAAAAUUUCAGGAGAACCUUAGUAAAACUUGGACAGAAAUUAAACUCAAAUACCACUUUAAAGAAAGCAUAACACUCAGUUAUGAACAACAAUCAGUUGAUGAAACUCAUUAUAAUGUAACACUAUUUACUGAACCUUCAAUCACAGACAAAACUCAGGAGGUUCACCCAAUAACAAUGCAACUAAUUUCCCUGAAGUUUACGAGAGGACCAUCCAUAAAAAUCGACAGGCCCCUGCUUUUUUCCUCAGGUUUCGCCAUAAACACAACAACUCAUAGUUAAACAACCCAGACAAAUAAACCAGUUACUCAAAAACAUUGAUUCUAUAGCGCAUGCCAUGCAAUGAACCGUCCGUUUAAGCAUUCUCAUCAUCUUUAAUAAUUCAAACACAAAAAUUACAUGAAAAACUCUGCCACAAGAGAAAUAGAAGGAACGAAAAAUCUGAAGAGAUCAUAAUACCUUGAAGUGAACUCUGAGAUCUAAGCCCCUGGCCUUGCAAGCUGUGGCACCAAAACAGCAAUCAUAAGAUGCACAGAAAACAACACUACGUAAUUUUAGCUAUUGAAUCAGACACCCGAGAUCCCAUCUCAGGAAAACCAAAUGUUCAGAAAACAAAACACAAAUGCCCUGUUUAUUCGCUAAGAAAUUGCGAAAAAGUAAAGAAAAAAAAAAUCUUGAAUCCUUAAACCAGAAAAUCCAGCUCCAAGAUAUAACAGAACUCCGAGUUUUUAUUUCAUUUCCUCUACAGCCAAACAGGUAGAGACAUUUGCAAAACGCAAAAAGGCUAACAAGAAAUCGAAGUGCUUACACUUGGUGGGAUUGUCUGGCUCUCUGGAGUACUUCACCUGAAAAAAUACGCCAAACAGAUGAUCAUUUAUAGAGCUACAAAGAACAAGAGGAAUGAAUGAGGAAAAAAAAAAAAGGGCACUACCAUGGCGGCUUAUGAUGCUGCUGCUUCCUCCUCCCUCAGACAAGUCGAUGAUUUUCCUCGAGAAGAUGAGCUUAAACCCUAACCCUUCUAAAGUGGGCUGGGCUGGGCUAGGCCAAUGGGCCCAAAAUGGGAUCUUGAUACCUAAUAGCAUUACUUAAAAUUAAAUUUGCUUUAGAUUACAUUUUCUAAGUUGUGCCCUCAUCCGAAGAUGAUGAACCUAGGAAUAACUAAAAUUGAUUUUAAAUAUAUUCAUUAUAUUUUAAGCAUGAAAUUUCAAAUGCAUUAGGGAUCUCAAAUUUAAAUGGUCCAAUCAAUCCAUUUAGACCAAAUGAAAUUACCCUCAACAAGCUUGAUUUGAUUUAGUCUUUUUCAUCACCAAAUGGGUCCAAUCUUCUUUACAAUAUUUAAUAUUGAUGUAUUAAAAUAAUUGUAAUCUCUUAAUAUUAAUGCAUCACUAUUUUUGAUAUGUCAUUAUAUCAGCAUUCUUAACUUUUAAAAGUACAGAAUUGAUUUUUAAUAUUACCAUAUUAAUUAAUAUGAUAUUAUAUCAAUUUAAAACAAAUAUAAUAAUUUGGUAAAAAUAUUUUUGUAGAAAUCUUGAUUCAUGGAGAGGAAACAAAAAUGGGUUACCCAUUUUUGGUUGUAAGUUUUGUCAAAGUGAAAGUGAAACCCACACUUGUAUAAUUCUUGAAGGGGAAUGAAAAGUUGGUAUCCAAACAAAAGGGAGGGACCUUUUUCAUUUCAUUCCAUAGGAAUGAAUCCCACUUCAAGUUUUUAAUUUUAGUAUAAACCAAAUAUCUUGGAGGCCAAUCUUUUCUCACAAGGAACUCUGCAAUGAAGCUCAGCCAAUUGAAAGCAGCAAUCCCACAAAGAAAAUUGAGUCAACUAUGAUGGCAAAGAACCCCAUGACACCUCAUAUAUGAUGAAUGUAUGUUUAGUGGCUUAAAUGAAAGUAGUUUUUCAGAACGAAUUCAUUUUUAUUCCUAUGCUCCUUGCAAAUGAUCCUAUUGUUUGUUAUAAACAGCCACAUUUGAUUACAAAGGCUACAUGUAAUCAUCUUAUUUUCGCAGUAAAAAUAGUCAGAAUGCUAGCACAAAGUUGAGAAAUAUAAUAUGAAAAAGGACAGCUUAUGCAGAGAUGAGAAAUAACCAUGUGAGCAUUGAACCAAACUUCUUGAUGAUUUGCACCAAAUGAAAGACUUUUUGGCCAAAAUAACCAUGGUUUGCAAUUAAUCGACUUGAUUAGGUCCAUUUAUAAGAGGACAAAACUAGGGUUAUUUCGGGGGUAUCUUCAUCUAAAAUUUCCAUAACUUUCCAAAAUACUCAACAAAAUUCUGAAAACAAAACAAAGUGGCUCAAAGACUCUCAAUAACCCCUGACUUUAUAUUAAGACAACAAACUCAUCUUAAAAUGAAAGAGUGACAAUUAAAAUUGGCAUGAAAAUUUCUUGAAGAGUUUACUAGCUCUAUCAUCAGAUUGCAAUUCGAGUAGAAGCACCACCGCGCAGAGACUUCUUGGAUUUGCCUGUCGCCAACUGAGUUUCAGGCUGCAAAACCCACCAAGAGUAGUAAGAUACUAAUCAAAACCAGGGCAACUAAUUUCUCCUAUAUUGCUCUCCCUUUGGGUUCUAUUCUUGAUGCAAUGACUAAUGAAUUACCUCCUUUUUAACAGGUUCUUCCUUUUCAGACAAAAUCAACUCAAUAUGGCAUGGUGAUGACAUAUAUGCUGCCAAACAAAUAGAAGGUUCCUGUUAACAUUUAGGAAAACAACCAUUACACAAAUGCUAGAUUUGAAAGGAAACAAACUUACGGUUGAUUCUUCCAUGAGCCCGGUAUGUGCGGCGCCUUUGUUUCUGUGCCUGGUUCACUUGGAUGUGAGAUAUGUAGAGUGAAUCAACAUCCAGACCUUUCAACUGUAAGAAUUGACAUUUAUUAGUUAGUUGGAAUUAUAGACAAAGCAGAGAAUACAUGGUGAAGGGCAAUUGAAUACAUACAUCAGCAUUACUCUCAGCAUUCUUAAGCAAAUCUAGGAUGAAUUUAGCAGAUUUGACAGGCCAGCGUCCUUGUCCAUUCGAAUGCCUGUUCUUUGCCUGAGCAGUUCGCCCAACACCUCUACAGAAGCGGGUGAAAGGUAUGGCUUGCUUGUGGACCAGAACAUCCUCCAAAUACCUUUUGGCCUUGGCCAAAGGCAACUUCCUAAUGGCAUGAGCAGUCUCCCUUGUGUUCUAUUGACACAAUAUAGAAAUGAGAAAUACAAUGAUGUGAGUUCACAAUAAACUCAGAUUUUCAGAGAGAAGGAUACAAAAAUGAACAACAUGAUAUCCAAAAAAAGAGAUGGGAGGAAAAGGAGACCCUGGUUGGACAAGAAGCAGGUGUACAGUGAUCUGCAACUUGAUACCAGCCUGGACCUAGCCUCUGGUCAAAAACCUAUGCUUGAAACCAAGCAAGGGUGACCUCAAAAGCCAAAAUAGCCUGGCUUACAAAUUACAUUAUAUAAUAAUAUAAUGAUAUAGUACAAUUAAAAAUUGCAUCAGUAUCUUUUUUGGCCAUCUUUAUAGGUAACAAACUGACCAUAACCAAUCAGACUAAUCCAGGUUUUAUAAUGCAAUCAUAUUCAGAGGAACAGCAACAAAAACAUCAAAGAUCUAACUAAAGGAACAUCUAACUUAAUAUAGACAGUGUAAAUACCACAACUAUAUAGUUUAAAUAACGAGUUAUUAGAAACACUAUGUUAGGAAGCUAACAGAACUUCAAAUAACAAUUUUGCAAUGGGAAUGCAGCUGGUGUGUGAAGGAAUCAUGUUAACAGACAUACCAUAGAGAAAGGCCAAUUUUUUGCCACAAGAAUGCAGUGAAGACACUAGUACAACUUAAAAUAAGAACUAUCCUACAGACCACUUAACAGAAAGAGUGACAUUCAUUUGAGAAUUGUAGGUGUAGUCAAACUCAUCACAAUGUGCCAUUAUUUACUGAGCCUUCCAUCACAAAAAACUCCAGAGGUUCACCCAAUAAUAAUGCAACUAAUUUCCCUGAAGUUUACGAGAGACCUGUCCACAAAGGCAACAAGCCCCUGCUUUUUUCAUCAGGUUUCGCAAACAAGACAAAAAUUUAGAUUUGAACAGUUAAAAGUAAAAAACAUUUGUCAUUAUUUACUGAUGGCAACCAUCACAAUGUGCCAUUAUUUACUGAGCCUUCCAUCACAAAAAACUCCAGAGGUUCACCCAAUAAUAAUGCAACUAAUUUCCCUGAAGUUUACGAGAGACCUGUCCACAAAGGCAACAAGCCCCUGCUUUUUUCAUCAGGUUUCGCAAAACAAGACAACAAUUUAGAUUUGAACAGUUCAAGUAAAAACCAUUUGUCAUUAUUUACUGAUGGCAACCAUCACAAUGUGCCAUUAUUUACUGAGCCUUCCAUCACAAUAAACUCCAGAGGUUCACCCAAUAAUAAUGCAACUAAUUUCCCUGAAGUUUACAAGAGACCUGUCCACAAAGGCAACAAGUCCCUGCUUUUUUCAUCAGGUUUUGCAAACAAGAAAACAAUUUAUAUUUGAACAAUCAAAGCAAAAGAUCAGUUAAUGAGAAAAUAUCAAAACCAUCUAUUUAUGCAAUGGAUAAUGAUUUUGCAAAGGGAAAUGCAGAUAAAAAGGGAUACAACAGCAAAAGACAAAACUAGCACUUCAAGAAUUUUUUUUUAAAAUAUUCUAAGAAUAAUUUUACAUACCAAUUUAUCAGAGAAACAAAUUUAGCAUCAUUUGCUGAAUCUUCAACCACCAAGAAAACAGGUUCAGCCACGAAGAAUGUGAGGAUUUCCCCCAAGUUUACAAUAAUCCCAUUCACAAAGGUAACAGAAAUAUGUUUUUUCCAUCAGGUUUUACAAUCAAGGAGAAACAAAACUAAUGAUACUUUUCACUUUCCCUUAAUCUGGUAGCAAAAAUUUACCAUAACAUGCUAAAUCUAACUAUAGAUUUUAUAUUUUAAUAAUAAGCAGAAAGGCAGGGAAACUUUAAUUUUUCUAUCAAAAAAAUAUAAGCACGGGAAAAAACAAAGCAAAGAUCAAACCAACCCACAUAAACUAAACAUAGAUAAUAGGAAAAAUAAAAAAACUUGUAUUCAUAUAAAUGAUGUCUAGAAACACUAUGUCAAUCAAACCAUACCAGAAGAAUGCAGACAAUAGUAUUGUCAUCACAAUAUAACCAGAUUGGAAAUGAUCUAACAAAUGUCACAAAGAAAGCCCCAAUAUUUUUUUCAUAAAGAAUACCAGGAGAACACCACUAAAACUUGGAAGAAAUUUAAAAUCAGAUACCGCUAAAAAGAAAGCAACACGCACUUAAGAACAACAAUCAGUUGAUGAAACUCAUCAUAAUGUACCAUUAUUUACUGAACCUUCAAUCACAAACAAUACUCAUGUGGUUCACCCAAUAACAAUGCAACUAAUUUCCCUGAAGUUUACGAGAGACCCAUUCACAAAAGGCAACAG
rnacentral:lncRNA from 1 species